rnacentral:misc_RNA from 1 species
GAAAUGCGAUAAGUAGUGUGAAUUGCAGAAUUCAGUGAAUCAUCGAAUCUUUGAACGCACAUUGCGCCCCUUGGUAUUCCAUGGGGCAUGCCUGUUCGAGCGUCAUUUGUACCCUCAAGCUCUGCUUGGUGUUGGGUGUUCGUCCCCGUCUCCGCGCGUGGACUCGCCCCAAAGUGAUUGGCAGCCGGCGUACUGGUCCCGGAGCGCAGCACAUGUCGCGCAAACGAGUGCCUUGGUACGGCGGCGUCCAUAAGCCCCUCUCUCACGCUCUUGACCUCGGAUCAGGUAGGGAUACCCGCUGAACUUAAGC